rnacentral:lncRNA from 1 species
UUUAGUUAGCUUGGUUAGUUAGGUUAUUAGUUAGUUAGCUUAAUAGAAAGAAGAGGAAGAAGUAGAAGAAGAGGAGGAGGAGAAUAGGAGAGGAGGAGAAGGAGGAGGAGAAGAAGAAGAAGAAGAAGAAGAAGAAGAGAAAAAAACAAGAAGGAGAAGAAGAGAAGAAGAAGAGAAGAAGAGAAGAAGACAUAAUUAGC